rnacentral:lncRNA from 1 species
AGACAACAGUUUUAUUUUGGUUGUGUAUUGAGCGCUAUAUACACAAGUUGUAGAAUUUUAAUUUCUCUAAAGCCCUAAUUCUCGUUCUCUCUCCUUUUCGCACGCACGACUCUGAUAUCCCUCAGCCACCUUCCCCACGACACCCACCGGCGUCCAAGCCCUAGCUACCGGCGUCCAAGCCCCAGCCACCGUCGCCCCAUGCCACCCACCGCCGUCAAGCCUCAUCCUUCGUCGCCCAUGCUACCCCCACUGUCCAGUGAGUGGCGGAAGCCCUCGCCACUCACCGGAUCUAUUCUCGUCGCUUCUUGCUCAUCGCUGGAGAUUCCCGCCCUCGGUCGCCUAUUUCUUUGCCUCAUCGCCGAUUCUCGCCCUCGGCUGCCUAUUUCUUUGCUUCGUCGCCGAUUCCUGCCGUCGGCCGCCGUAUUCCCCUGAGAUUGCGUUAGAUAACAGUUGGAGCCAUAUCCAAGUCGGAGAUGCCAGUCGAAACUUGAUUCCUUCAAGACCAAACUAGACCGGAGCUUUUUGUGUCAAUUCGGUGGUGGAUGAGUUAGAACUCACGCCUCUCCACCAAACGAAAUCAAAACUAGGUAAUUAAAUUUCUUUUUCUUUUUUUUGGUUUUGAUUGUUUACGAAAGAGUGAUGAAGUUAAAGAUUUCCUUCAGUUAGGCUUGCUUUUUUUGAUUUUGAUUGUUUGGUGCUCAAUUCAGUUAGGCAUUGUUGUAAUUGUUGAAUUAGAAAUAAAUGUUUGAUCUAUGCGUGUUGCCAAGAUUGGGAUUAUUUCCCGGUGAAUCUACCAGUUAGGCAGCUUCACUUUUGUGUUGUGAGAAUCUACCAAUUAUGCUUCACUUUCUUUUAUCUUUUAUUU